rnacentral:rRNA from 1 species
ACAUGGCGAAGGCAGCUAACUGGACAUACACUGACACUGAGAGACGAAAGCGUGGGGAGCAAACAGGAUUAGAUACCCUGGUAGUCCACGCCCUAAACGUUGAUCAUUAGCUGAUGGGGAACUCAUCGGCGCAGCUAACGCAUUAAAUGAUCCGCCUGAGUAGUACGUUCGCAAGAAUAAAACUUAAAGGAAUUGACGGGGACCCGCACAAGCGGUGGAGCAUGUGGUUUAAUUUGAAGAUACGCGUAGAACCUUACCCACUCUUGACAUCUUCUGCAAAGCUAUAGAGAUAUAGUGGAGGUUAACAGAAUGACAGAUGGUGCAUGGUUGUCGUCAGCUCGUGUCGUGAGAUGUUCGGUUAAGUCCUGCAACGAGCGCAACCCUUACCCUUAGUUACUAACAUUCAGUUGAGCACUCUAGGGAGACUGCCCGAGUAAUCGGGAGGAAGGUGGGGACGACGUCAAAUCAUCAUGCCUCUUACGAGUGGGGCCACACACGUGCUACAAUGGCCGGUACAAAGUGAAGCAACCUGGUGACAGUGAGCAAACCACAAAAAGCCGGUCUCAGUUCGGAUUGGAGUCUGCAACUCGACUCCAUGAAGUCGGAAUCGCUAGUAAUCGUAGAUCAGCUACGCUACGGUGAAUACGUUCUCGGGUCUUGUGCACACCGCCCGUCAAACCAUGGGAGCUGGUAAUGCCCGAAGUCGGUUUAUUAACAAACUGCCUAAGGCAGGACUGGUGACUGGGGUUAAGUCGUAACAAGGUAUCCCUAUCCUU